rnacentral:rRNA from 1 species
GACGAACGCUGGCGGCGUGCUUAACACAUGCAAGUCGAGCGGUAAGGCCCUUUCGGGGGUACACGAGCGGCGAACGGGUGAGUAACACGUGGGUGACCUGCCCUCAGCUCUGGGAUAAGCCUGGGAAACCGGGUCUAAUACCGGAUAUGACUCCAUGACGCAUGUUGUGGGGUGGAAAGCCUUGUGCGGCUGAGGAUGGGCCCGCGGCCUAUCAGCUUGUUGGUGGGGUGANGGCCUACCAAGGCGACGACGGGUAGCCGGCCUGAGAGGGCGACCGGCCACACUGGGACUGAGACACGGCCCAGACUCCUACGGGAGGCAGCAGUGGGGAAUCUUGCGCAAUGGGCGAAAGCCUGACGCAGCGACGCCGCGUGAGGGAUGACGGCCUCGGUUGUAACGUAC